AUACAUCGAUAACUCUAUUAAUUAAUACCAGUCCUGAUUUAAAGGAAAAAGUUAUGUGAACAAAAUAAAAGUAGUCUGUACCACUAAGCAUGCCUUCACGGUUUAGACUGGGAGUCCCAAAGUUUUUUAAGCAUGUAUUCUAAUAUCUUAUGACGAUAAGCCCCCACCCACCCCACCCCACACCGUUCUGUUUUCACUCAGCGGCUGGCCAGCGGUCCGUGUAUGAGGUAAACAUGGCGAUCCCUUACUGAACACCGUUCUUGUCGAUCAGAAAAUCAAAAUACCAGCAUGAUAUUGCCUCGAAGAAGAAGCAGUUGUGUUAUUUGAUUCGUACUUCACAUUUGAGUCCAAGCUUGGGUGACACAGGUUAUUUCUUAUGGUGGACUGACGAGGGGAAUUUGAACACUAGUUGUGUUUGAAUUGUUGGAAGAAAUGGUCGCAUGGGAAUGUAGGAAUGAUCUACCUGCUCGAUUUGUGUCUGCAACGCUUCAUGUUGAUAAGUCCCUCAAAAUGGCGGCCAAACUUGGAGAUUGCC